AUUGAAUUUAUAUCUGGAUAUCAUAAAAAGGCUUACCACUUUCUCUAGUUAACGUGGUCACCGGGGGAGUGGCCGGUCCGGCGCCGGCACUAUUGAAAGCUCUAACGCUCACUGAAUACCUGUCCUUCAAUGAUGUACUUCGUGACCUUUCCCCGGACAGUGGCGAACUCCAUACCGACGUUGGCUCCGCCCGACACCGCACCGUCCGCCGACACCCACCACCACACCGUGUACCCCAGGAGCUCCCCGUUCCAUGACGACUGCGAAGGCGCCUGCGUCAUACGCGACCGACUUUACGAGCGGUCUAAAUAUGGAUCUCAGAUCUCGAAUAAGCGUCGUGGGAGGGCGAGGAGACCGACACAUUAUGCGCUCGUGCGUCAGACCAGCCGUCGGAUGCAGGGGGAAGGUGCGUAUGCGGCCGAUACUGCAGCUCGUAAGAGACCACGGGCCUUCUGAGGUGGUUAAAGAUUCAGAUACGUAUAACCAAAUCGAGCUUUCAUCACCUUGCACAGCGAGAUGCAGGAAGUGGUCUGAGCGGCCAUAAGGGUUCGAGCCCUGGCAGCGGUACACGCCGGAGUCCCGUCUUCCGGCGCGCUCUACAACCAGCUCGCUGCGCAGACCCUCUGCACUACGCGUCUCCGAAAUACUCAUCCUAGGAAAAUAUAAGUCGGAGUUAGGGAGCGGUCGGCCGGCGUGCGUCCAGGCGAUGGCGAGCGGAGUGUCACCGCGAACCACGCACACCAGCCGCACAGACUCACCCUGCGCCGCUGACACGUUUGCCGACUGAGACUCGAACCGCGCCGGUUCUUAAUUUUAAUUUUAUAUUAAUAAAAAUGGCACAACGAAGAAAUGACAUAUACAUAGUUUUGACACGUUGAAAUAUAGUUGCGUGCUUCACUUAUGUAUAAACUGCAACAAUGUUCCUGAGGUCAGUGGUAUUCAAAUGCUUACAAAUCGCCAACUUACUUUACUAACAACGGAGUUUUACUUAUGUCCCAACAUUAAUGUAACUCACUCGACUUUGUAAUUAACAUACAUAAUACUGUAUCUGGGCUUUGGCACGUCACUAUAGACACGUGCCGUGUUAUAACCGAGCCAAAUAACAACAAAACAAGCACUAUAAUAGUAAUAAGGUAAAUUGUCAAUUUCAAUUACCAUUGACGUGUAUCUUGAGGGUCUUGGCGAGUGGCGGCGGCACGCCGUUAUCGGCACGGCAGCGGUAACGGCCGGAGUGGUCGGCACGCGCCGCCGCCAACCACAGCGACCCAUUGCUCAGCACGGCCGGCUCUGAUACGGCACCCAAAGCUGUCUCUGUGUUUCCUGCCCAUAGACAUACGGCUGUAAUGCUCACUAUCAAUCUUAAAAGUAGUCACAUAUUAAUAAAAGAUCCGCAUAAUAUCUCACCGGUAAGUUUGGUCCAAUAGACAGUGGGAAGCGGGUGGCCUCGUGCGUCGCACGACACGGUGAGGGACCCGUUGAGCAAAACUGCGCCGUCCGCCGGCUCCGUUUGCCAAUACGGCGGCACUGUAUGCAGACGA